GUAGGGAAUAUUGGGCAAUGGAGGCAACUCUGACCCAGCCAUGCCGCGUGCAGGAUGACGGCCCUCUGGGUUGUAAACUGCUUUUAUACGGGAAGAAAAAAUACUACGUGUAGUAUACUGACGGUACCGUAAGAAUAAGGAUCGGCUAACUCCGUGCCAGCAGCCGCGGUAAUACGGAGGAUCCAAGCGUUGUCCGGAUUUAUUGGGUUUAAAGGGUGCGUAGGCGGAUCUUUAAGUCAGUGGUGAAAGCCUGCAGCUUAACUGUAGAAUUGCCAUUGAAACUGAAGAUCUUGAAUGUGGCUAAAGUAGGCGGAAUGUAUCAUGUAGCGGUGAAAUGCUUAGAUAUGAUACAGAACACCGAUAGCGAAGGCAGCUUGCUGAACCAUUAUUGACGCUGAGGCACGAAAGCGUGGGGAGCGAACAGGAUUAGAAACCCGGGUAGUCC
rnacentral:rRNA from 1 species